rnacentral:rRNA from 1 species
CCUACGGGUGGCAGCAGUGAGGAAUAUUGGUCAAUGGGCGGAAGCCUGAACCAGCCAAGUAGCGUGCGGGAUGAAGGCCCUACGGGUCGUAAACCGCUUUUGCACGGGGAUAACACCCUCCACUUGUGGAGGUCUGCAGGUACCGUGCGAAUAAGGGCCGGCUAAUUCCGUUCCCGCAGCCGGCGUAAUACAGAGGGCCCGAGCGUUAUCCGGAUUCAUUGGGCUUAAAGGGCGCGUCGGCCGGCGUGCAAGUCAGCUGUAAAAUCGCGCGGCUCAACCGCGCCCCGUAGUUGAAACUGGACGCAUUGAGUUCACAACAGGCAGGCGGAAUUCGUGGUGUAGCGGUGAAAUGCAUAGAUAUCACGAGGAACCCCGAUUGCGAAGGCAGCCUGCCGGGGUGCGACUGACGCUGAGGCUCGAAGGUGCGGGUAUCAAACAGGAUUAGAUACCCCAGUAGUC